AUUGCAAGAACUUUGGCGAUGUAGGGGAUCAACGGCAGGUUCAGGAUCAACAACACAAGGUUGCCGAUGAACAUCGACAUGAUCACGGCCCAGAAAAUCUGCGGUUCGUCGAUCAUCAAACGCGGCCC
rnacentral:ncRNA from 1 species